UACGUAGGGGGCGAGCGUUGUCUGGAAUGGUUGGGCGUAAAGGGCGCGCAGGCGGCCUGUCAAGUCAGUAGUGGAAGUCCAUUUUUCAAGGAUGGAAGUGCUAUAGAAACUGAUGGGCUUGAGUGCAGGAGAGGUUAUCGGAAUUCCCGGUGUAGCGGUGAAAUGCGUAGAGAUCGGGAGGAACACCAGUGGCGAAGGCGGGUAACUGGACUGCAACUGACGCUGAGGCGCGAAAGUGUGGGGAGCAAACAGGAUUAGAUACCCU
rnacentral:rRNA from 1 species